CACGCCCUAAACGAUGUCUACUAGUUGUCGGGUCUUAAUUGACUUGGUAACGCAGCUAACGCGUGAAGUAGACCGCCUGGGGAGUNACGCGAAAAACCUUACCUACCCUUGACAUGUCAGGAACCCUCGAGAGAUUGAGGGGUGCUCGAAAGAGAGCCUGAACACAGGUGC
rnacentral:rRNA from 1 species